rnacentral:rRNA from 1 species
GACGAACGCUGGCGGCGUGCCUAAUACAUGCAAGUCGAACGCAGUGGGGCCGGGUGAGUAACACGUGGGUAACCUCCCAUCAGAGGGGAUAACACUUGGAAACAGGUGCCAAACAGAUAUUGAUGGAUGGACCCGCGGUGCAUUAGCUAGUUGGGGAGGUAACGGCUCACCAAGGCCAAGAUGCAUACCCGGCCGGAGAGGAGGAUCGGCCACACUGGAACUGAGACACGGGCCAGACUCCUACGGGAGGCAGCAGUGGGGAAUCUUCGGCAAUGGACGAAAGCCUGACCCAGCAACGCCGCGUGAGUGAAGAAGGUUUUCGGAUCGUAAAGCUCUGUUGUUAGGGAGGCGGUAUCUAAACAGAAAGCAACGGCUAACUACGUGCCAGCAGCCGCGGUAAUUC